CUCACCGACCACGCCCUGGGAUGCCUGAAGAACAGCUCAGCUGUUAGCCACCACACUUCAAAUACCAAAGUCUCUCAGGCUACCGUGCUGCAAACUUCAGAUAAGGGAACUCAGCUUUGAAAAUGACUGAGAAGAGCUAGCCCCAGAGCUGCAAUUCCAGAUGCACCCCCGGCUCUUGGAAGAAGCGAAUCUCCUUGCCGGGAGCACUGUUCAGGGAGUAAGGAAGCGCAGCUCUCACCUUAAAAGGAAUAAGAGUUUCUUCUAUAGCCCUUUUGAGCGACCAUCGCCCUGGAACACAGAUUUAGCUCCUGCUCCAGGGCCAUGCUGCCUGCCUGCCUGCUGCCAUGCUCCCCACCAUGAAGGCUGUGAACUCACCCUACAAAACUGCAAGCACACUAGAUAAAUUUGAAUAAAUUCUUUCUUUCUUUGA